rnacentral:rRNA from 1 species
AUUGAACGCUGGCGGCAGGCCUAACACAUGCAAGUCGAGCGAGCGGCGGACGGGUGAGUAAUGUCAGGGAAACUGCCUGAUGGAGGGGGAUAACUACGGGAAACGGUAGCUAAUACAGCAUACCAUCAGAGGGGCCAAGAUGGGAUGAGCUAGUAGGUGGGGUAAAGGCUAACCUAGGCGACGAUCCCUAGCUGGUCUGAGAGGAUGACCAGCCACACUGGAACUGAGACACGGUCCCGACUCCUACGGGAGGCAGCAGUGGGGAAUCUUGGACAAUGGGCGAAAGCCUGAUGCAGCCAUGCCGCGUGUGUGAAGAAGGCCUUCGGGUUGUAAAGUACUUUCAGCGGAGAUGCGUUAUCCGCAGAAGAAGCACCGGCUAACUCCGUGCCAGCAGCCGCGGUAAUUC